GCUACACACGUGUCACUUCUAAAUACGUGUCUUCUUCUCCCGCCGACCAAGACACACUACAAAUGUCCCGAUGGUUGGGAGAGACAAUUCACGCAGUUUCUACUACAACAGCAAACAAUUUCACAAAAAGAACAAAAAAAAGCUUUAAGAACCUAUCUAGUGUCGUUUUCAUAUCUUAAGCAAAAUGGCGUCCAACCAACAGAGCUACAGAGCUGGUGAAACCAGAGGCAAGGCCCAGGAGAAGACUGGACAAGCUAUGGGAACAAUGAGGGA